CUGGGGCGUUGCCCCCGCAGCUCCAGAUGCUGAUGCAAACCCGCCAUGUGGACCAAAACGAUGCACGCUGCAGGCCUUACCAAUCGGGAAUCCACUGACUGCGCGGGUUACGCAGGAGUAUUUGGCUCCUGAGAGCCGUGCGGGGACACAUCUGUGAGGCAUAGUGGUAGGUUUGCUGCAUGCGUGUAUCAGCUGCGGCACCCAAGUUCCUCUCACCUUCACCCAGUGUCGGCGGGUAAAUGCGGUCUCUUGCGCCUCCUCCGCACUAUCCAGUGUUGGCUGCAUGGGCG